rnacentral:rRNA from 1 species
GAGAGUUUGAUCCUGGCUCAGGACGAACGCUGGCGGCGUGCCUAACACAUGCAAGUCGAACGAGGUCCAUCCUUCGGGGAGAAGACCUAGUGGCGAACGGGUGAGUAACACGUGAGGAACCUGCCCCGAAGACCGGGAUAACCCUCCGAAAGGAGAGCUAAUACCGGAUACCCCCGCCGAAUCGCAUGAUUUGGUGAGGAAAUGGAUUCCGCUUCGGGAGGGCCUCGCGGCCUAUCAGCUAGUUGGUGGGGUAACGGCCUACCAAGGCAUCGACGGGUAGCUGGUCUGAGAGGACGAUCAGCCACACUGGGACUGAGACACGGCCCAGACUCCUACGGGAGGCAGCAGUGGGGAAUCUUGCGCAAUGGGCGAAAGCCUGACGCAGCAACGCCGCGUGGGGGAUGAAGGCUCUCGGGUUGUAAACCCCUUUCAGCAGGGACGAAAUAAGACGGUACCUGCAGAAGAAGCUCCGGCUAACUACGUGCCAGCAGCCGCGGUAAC